GACGGAGGUGGCAAGCGUUGUUCGGAAUUACUGGGCUUAAAGAGCGCGUAGGCGCCUGUCAAGCGUCCUGUGAAAUCCCUCGGCUCAACCGAGGAAUGGCUGGGCGAACUGACAGGCUUGAGGCACGUAGGGGCGCGUGGAACUCUUGGUGGAGCGGUGAAAUGCGUAGAUAUCAAGAGGAACGCCGGUGGCGAAGGCGACGCGCUGGGCGUGUCCUGACGCUGAGGCGCGAAAGCCAGGGGAGCGAACGGGAUUAGAUACCCGCGUA
rnacentral:rRNA from 1 species